rnacentral:rRNA from 1 species
GGGUUGUGAGGUUAAGCGACUAAGCGUACACGGUGGAUGCCCUGGCAGUCAGAGGCGAUGAAGGGCGUGCUAAUCUGCGAUAAGCGCCGGUAAGGUGAUAUGAACCGUUAUAACCGGCGAUACCCGAAUGGGGAAACCCAGUGUGAUUCGUCACACUAUCAUUAACUGAAUCCAUAGGUUAAUGAGGCGAACCGGGGGAACUGAAACAUCUAAGUACCCCGAGGAAAAGAAAUCAACCGAGAUUCCCCCAGUAGCGGCGAGCGAACGGGGAGGAGCCCAGAGCCUGAAUCAGCAUGUGUGUUAGUGGAAGCGUCUGGAAAGGUGCGCGAUACAGGGUGACAGCCCCGUACACAAAAGCGCAUGUGCUGUGAGCUCGAUGAGUAGGGCGGGACACGUGAUAUCCUGUCUGAAUAUGGGGGGACCAUCCUCCAAGGCUAAAUACUCCUGACUGACCGAUAGUGAACCAGUACCGUGAGGGAAAGGCGAAAAGAACCCCGGCGAGGGGAGUGAAAAAGAACCUGAAACCGUGUACGUACAAGCAGUGGGAGCACAGGUUUACCUGUGUGACUGCGUACCUUUUGUAUAAUGGGUCAGCGACUUAUAUUCUGUAGCAAGGUUAACCGUAUAGGGGAGCCGUAGGGAAACCGAGUCUUAACCGGGCGUUAAGUUGCAGGGUAUAGACCCGAAACCCGGUGAUCUAGCCAUGGGCAGGUUGAAGGUUGGGUAACACUAACUGGAGGACCGAACCGACUAAUGUUGAAAAAUUAGCGGAUGACCUGUGGCUGGGGGUGAAAGGCCAAUCAAACCGGGAGAUAGCUGGUUCUCCCCGAAAGCUAUUUAGGUAGCGCCUCGUGAAUUCAUCUCCGGGGGUAGAGCACUGUUUCGGCUAGGGGGCCAUCCCGGCUUACCAACCCGAUGCAAACUGCGAAUACCGGAGAAUGUUAUCACGGGAGACACACGGCGGGUGCUAACGUCCGUCGUGAAGAGGGAAACAACCCAGACCGCCAGCUAAGGUCCCAAAGUCAUGGUUAAGUGGGAAACGAUGUGGGAAGGCCCAGACAGCCAGGAUGUUGGCUUAGAAGCAGCCAUCAUUUAAAGAAAGCGUAAUAGCUCACUGGUCGAGUCGGCCUGCGCGGAAGAUGUAACGGGGCUAAACCAUGCACCGAAGCUGCGGCAGCGAACGUAUCACCCAAGACAACUUUACGGAGUUGACGAUUGACGGAGCGAAGCGACGUCAAAGCGUUCAUUAAAGUCGAGUUGGCUUAGGGAUACGUUCGUUGGGUAGGGGAGCGUUCUGUAAGCCUGUGAAGGUGUGUCGUGAGGCAUGCUGGAGGUAUCAGAAGUGCGAAUGCUGACAUAAGUAACGAUAAAGCGGGUGAAAAGCCCGCUCGCCGGAAGACCAAGGGUUCCUGUCCAACGUUAAUCGGGGCAGGGUGAGUCGACCCCUAAGGCGAGGCCGAAAGGCGUAGUCGAUGG